rnacentral:sRNA from 1 species
UUCGUCGGCGCUUAAAUUUAAUAAUAUGGAUAAUUUCCAUAUAAUAAAAAGGCAGAACAUGGUGCCAUGGCCGGAUAAAACCAUGAUUAAUAAAAAUAAAAUGGAAUAUUGCCCAAUUAAAUGAUAGACAUGUCCUAUUUUAACAUUGGAAGACAGAGAUCAUAACCACGUGUUGAAAUUGAGACACAUGGGGUCUCCAUGGUUUGGAGAACUAUGGAGUCCAAUAAAACCCAUUGAAUGUACUGCCAAGAGCUUUUAAAAGGCUCAGGAAGUGCAAUAGUAUACCUAUUUUAUAGGAGAAUAAUGAAAGAAGGCUAUGAGAGUCUCUGUUCAUAAACCCAUUUAAAAGGAGAAUAAUGAAAGAAGUUUCAGAUGAUGAUCAUCAAAAGAGUGGUUCAGUUGUGCAAUUGGAACUGUGAUAGUUGCAAGAUCCACUUGGAAGAAAUACCAAGAACAAAGUGUAUAAUAUAUUUAUUUAAAAAUAAAAAAUAAAAUAUUUUAACUGUAU